UACGUAGGUGGCAAGCGUUGUCCGGAUUUACUGGGUGUAAAGGGCGCGUAGGCGGGUAUGCAAGUCAGAUGUGAAAUUUAUGGGCUUAACCCAUAAACUGCAUUUGAAACUGCGUAUCUUGAGUGAUGGAGAGGUAAGUGGAAUUCCUAGUGUAGCGGUGGAAUGCGUAGAUAUUAGGAGGAACACCAGUGGCGAAGGCGACUUACUGGACAUUAACUGACGCUGAGGCGCGAAAGCGUGGGGAGCAAACAGG
rnacentral:rRNA from 1 species